CCUACGGGAGGCAGCAGUGAGGAAUAUUGCACAAUGGGCGAAAGCCUGAUGCAGCAACGCCGCGUGAGCGAUGAAGGCCUUCGGGUCGUAAAGCUCUGUCCGCAAGGAAGAUAAUGACGGUACUUGAGGAGGAAGCCCCGGCUAACUACGUGCCAGCAGCCGCGGGAAUACGUAGGGGCAUAGGGUUAUCUGGAAUUACUGGGGGAAAGGGGUGUGUAGGUGGUUUCUUAAGUCAGAGGUGAAAGGCGACGGCUCAACCGUAGUAAGCCUUUGAAACUGGGGAACUGGAGUGCAGGAGAGGAGAGUGGAAUUCCUAGUGUAGCGGUGAAAUGCGUAGAUAUUAGGAGGAACACCAGUGGCGAAGGCGGCUCUCUGGACUGUAACUGACACUGAGGCACGAAAGCGUGGGGAGCAAACAGGAUUAGAUACCCCUGUAGUC
rnacentral:rRNA from 1 species